rnacentral:rRNA from 1 species
UGGUGGAGUGAUUUGUUUGGUUGAUUCCGUGAACGAACGAGAUCUCACCCUCUUAAUGGGAGAGGGAUCAUCAGUGCUGCCCGCCUUUGGCGGAUCAGCCGAUCCCUGCUCCUUCAUUAGAGGAACACCGCAUGUCUUACAGUGCGAUGGAGCGAGCCAAUAGCA